rnacentral:tRNA from 1 species
CCGCUUGUAGCUCAACUGGAUAGAGCACCGGAUUUCGGCUCCGGGGGCUGGGAGUUCGAAUCUUCCCAAGCGGGCCA